UGCUUAACACAUGCAAGUCGAACGAACUUAUGGGGCUUGCUUCAUAAGUUAGUGGCAGACGGGUGAGAAACGCGUGGGAACGUACCCUAAAGUUCGGAAUAACUGUUGGAAACGACAGCUAAUACCGAAUGUGGCAGAGAUGCUAAAGGUUUACCGCUUUGGGAGCGGCCCGCGUUAGAUUAGCUUGUUGGUGAGGUAAAGGCUCACCAAGGCGACGAUCUUUAGCUGGUCUGAGAGGAUGAUCAGCCACACUGGGACUGAGACACGGCCCAGACUCCUACGGGAGGCAGCAGUGGGGAAUAUUGGACAAUGGGCGAAAGCCUGAUCCAGCAAUGCCGCGUGAGUGAUGAAGGCCUUAGGGUUGUAAAGCUC
rnacentral:rRNA from 1 species